GGCCAGUCUUCCUCAAAAAGGAAAAAAACCCCAAAACCCCGAAGUGAAAUAUUAAAAAUACUUGUUUUACAAUCUAACAUCACUAUGAUUUACAAAACACAUAUAUAUGAAAAAAAAACCCCCUUUGUAAUAACUAUGAACACCGCUUCCAAAUAAAGGCAUCUGUCCUAUUCACUAUUUAGGCAAGGAUUUUGGGGGGUUUUGUCUAUAAGGGAACAAAGGGAAUUCACUAUUCACACUGAAAUAAGUGGUAAUUAGAAUGUUACGUCUGCAAGAUAGCAAAAUAGUCCUAGUUUAUAUAGCAGUUUCAGCUAAGCCCCUCUUGUGCACGCUGCAGAUGGAAACUAUGAAAAUCCAUUCUCCUCCAAAUGCUUCAUUAAUUUAGAACUGGGUAACUCUGAAGAGCAGACAAGCUUGGCUAUGAUUACAUAUGAAGCUAAUGUACAAUUUUCUACAUUCCACAAAUGCAGAAAUAUGCUUCUCUCAUAUAAAGUUUUACACAGUUUAAAGAUAUAGAGUAUUCCAAGAAAAACAAUUGUACACGCUUUUAAGUUAUCCUGAAAGUUAAUUAACUUAUAAAUCUAAAUUUUUGGUUAGUUAUCCUUAUUCCUAAAGAAAUAUUUAUUUUUAAAGUAUUAAAUAUUCUGGAAAGAAAUCUUUUACUUGAAGGGAAAAAUUCAUUUUGCAAAAAUAAACAAAAUUCUAAAUUUAGAAAGUCUAUUAAAAAGACUCUAGUGUAAUCCUAAUCUGAACUAAGCAAAAACAUUUUCACUUAAUGAUUUAAAGACCGAUUACUUAAGGAAGAUUUAUUAUAAAAACAUAGCAUGCAGGAAAAAGAGCACUGGUCACUUAAGAAUGAGAUUUCUUGGAAAAACACUUUCUCUCUAUAUAUCCCUGUUUCUUCAUUUUUAAUAUUCUAGGUGUACAAGAUGGAAAAUUUGCUUCAUGAGAAGAUCCAUGGUUGUCUUGUUCAGUACUGGGCACAGUAGCCCAAAUAAGAGUGAGACUACAACAGAAGGCAAAGAGUGGAGAAGGAGAGAAGCAAGGAGUCUUUCCACUGCGCCUCAGGAGUUAGGUCUCUGACUUCAAAGGAGAAAGAAUAAAUCAUCUACAGGAAAGGAGUAAACCAAUGUGCCUCACUAAACCUCCAAAGGCGGCACCAGGCAGUUCUGGAAGUUGGAGCUGAUAAAGAAAGGUUAGUUGAAGGUCUGUUUAAGAAGCAGUUAGAUGUCCCCCACCCUUUCCAAUCCUGUCCCCAACGCCACCCUUUCCCCACUCUGGUGGAAGACAAGUUUUGUUCUCUGGAUAGGGUAAAACGAGGAAACUCUGAACUGAGGAACACCAGACAAAAUUGAAGGCACACGUACCAUGCUGAAAACUAAGUUGGGGUUUUUUUGGUGAAGGGGAUUGACCCUGAGCUAACAUGCAUUGCCAUUCUUCCUCUUUCUG